CUCUGAGUGUAAAUAUUUCUACAAUAUUUACUCGUCGAAGGCUAUCAAGUCAUAUAGCCAAAACUUGUGAAAAUAAAUAUUUACAUGCAUGCAGUCAGAGAACCAUUUCAUAUUUCACAGCGGACUCCGUUUGACCGUAAAUUCCAGAGCCAAAGGGGCGGGAUUACAGUUGGAUUUAGAGACAUGUGGCGGAUAAACAAGAAAGGCCGUUGUUUUCAAAACGGAAAGCCCAUUUCUCCAAACAGAGAUGUAAUAUUGUAGACGAAAUCAAAUUUUAGAUUUUGUUGAUGUAGCGAUGAACUAUAUUUGUAAUGUGCAAGUCAGGAGAAGCAAAUGCGAAGGCCUUUAUCGUGAUAUUUCUCUCCUUCUCUAACAAUCCUUUUAUUUGAAAGUUGAAGUAAGACGACGAGAAAUCAACUUCCGUGUCGUCAACUUCGGUUGUAAGACGUGCAUGUUUC